rnacentral:lncRNA from 1 species
UCUGACUCUUGAUUAGGGAAGACCCUCAAGGAAUGUUGUAGAAUGUGUUAGAAAAAGAGGUAGCUUCUCUUUCCCUCGUCUCCCCUCAGAAGUGAGCCACAGGGAUUCAUUCAGAGUGGGACUAUCUGGAGUCACAUUCCAGUGAUGCAUGUGACAGGUGUACAGUACUCUUCACUAGAGAUGCAGUCUGUGCAAGAGGAGGAAUGGGGAUUUAUCUCGGAAUUAUCAGAGUGAGUGCGGGCCAUGUCUGCAAGCAUAUAAAAACAAACCCGACUGGAAGCCAGUGGUCAAACUAGUAUUGACUAACAAGACACUUUGCUACCUCAAAGUAUUCAGUGUUGGUGGCAUGAAUGAUUGAAUGGCCUUGUAAUACUUAAGAAUGACAGCAGUUAUUUGCUCAUUGAGUUGAAAAUGUAUUCAGUGUAUUAAGAGAGGUUUUAUAUGAAUAAGGUUUUAAGUUCUUCCUUUUGAAAUGUAAUUUGUGAUUUAGGUAAAGUCUACAAAACUACAGGAAGAAAUUUAGUAGCUUCUGAAUCUGAGUCUGUAGUUUUUAAAGCACGUCAUUUUCAGGAAUUAGGGUUUCCUUGAAACCUAAGAAGGCAGGGUAAAUAAAUCUACAAACCUAGAGGUAUAACUGAAUAAUAUGGGCAUUUUUUCCCCACAAGAACUCUUCUUCUUUUUUUUUUUUUUUUUUAAUUUUAUAAUAGCACAUAGGUUGAAAACAAUAUUUGACUCUAAAAGAAGUACUCUUCUGUGAUUGCGAUUUUAGGAUUUGUUACUACCCUGGAUCAUGAGUCCCUCAAGGAUGAGGACAUGUCUUAUUGUCAUCAUGUCUCUGUUACCCACCAUCAGUGCCUAGCACAGAGUGGAAGUUCGACACGUGUGUAUUGAAUGGGACGACAGUGAAUAUGAAUGAGAUGGCCAAAUCUGCCCUUGAGAUGAGUGUGUGCUUUGCACUACUCUUCCAUGGUCUCUGCAUGUAGGGGUGGAUUCAUCUGGAAGUUGUCCCAGGACAACUGGGACAGGUGGCCUGGACUUGAGACAUCCCGGCAACUUGGCAAAGAUUGACCUUAGGCUUAUUUCAGGAAGUUCACCACCACUGGCCAGGAAACCAAACUAAUUGUUCAAAUGAGAUCUUCCUGGGGAAGAUCAAUAUUUAUUAGCAGUUGUUUUAAAAAAGC